CGCUGGCGGCGUGCCUAANACAUGCAAGUCGAACGGGACUGAUUGGAAAAGCGGCUUCGGCCAAUGGAAGAUCGGUUUAGUGGCGAACGGGUGAGUAACACGUGAGGAACCUGCCUUUCAGUGGGGGACAACAGUUGGAAACGACUGCUAAUACCGCAUAAUGUACUAUAGGGGCAUCCCUUAAGUACCAAAGCUUUAUGUGCUGAAAGAUGGCCUCGCGUCUGAUUAGAUAGUUGGUGGGUAACGGCCUACCAAGUCAACGAUCAGUAGCCGGUCUGAGAGGAUGAACGGCCACAUUGGGACUGAGACACGGACCAGACUCCUACGGGAGGCAGCAGUGAGGAAUAUUGGUCAAUGGGCGAGAGCCUGAACCAGCCAAGUCGCGUGAGGGACGACGGUACUAAGUAUUGUAAACCUCUUUUGUCAGGGAACAAAGAGACCACGUGUGGUAAGAUGAGUGUACCUGAAGAAAAAGCAUCGGCUAACUCCGUG
rnacentral:rRNA from 1 species